CACUUGACUUUCAAUGUAAAACGCAGGUGAAAUGGUUUAAAAUGCUGAUUUUUUUAUGGUCUGUUUUGAAAAUGCUGAUUUCUAAACUUUAACGCGAUCCCUUGUUACAACUAUAGUUAUCCUAGGUCUGACACAGACACACACACACAGCUAAGUAAACCUGUGAGAGGGCCUGUCAUGCCAAAUAGUGUCCCCCUGCCAAAAAGUGUCCUGAAGGACGGUAUUUUUGGAGUGAAGUGCAUGAUUGCCAAAAUCAACCUACGAUUCUUCUGACGGGGAAUUGUCAAGGAGGUGGACAGCUGGGCAAGUGAAAUAACCUUUUGUUUAUCAAUCACAUUCUAUUAUAUCUGAAAUUAUUAUGAUUUCAAUGAAUGUCAUAUCAGAGGCCACAAUGUUUUAAUUUGUCACUUUUUGCUUAAAGGUCAGUACCCUGUCUAGCCUGCCAGAAGUUUGAGAGGGCAAAGACUGUGGCGCCGGAGUUGAAGCCCAUCAAAGUUGUUUCACAACGGCACAUGAUUGGGGUGGACCUCAUCGGACCCUUCCCAAAUCCAGGAAUGGCAACAGCUGGUGUCUGACAGCGACCGAUCACUUUACCAAGUGGGUGGAGGCAAUACCCAUUAAGGUCAGUAAAUGAAGAGUACGUGCUUAACUCUAUAUUCCCUUCUGUAACCCAUUAAAAAGGGUGCUUGGAACCAAAAAUAGAUGUUCGUUUUGUAUGAUACCCAUCAAGGACGAGACUGGCGAGAAUUCAGAUGAUGGACAUCUUCAACCCACAGUUCACCCAUGAUUGAAUUAGUUUUGUUGUUUGUCUAUUGCUAUUUUUGUAUAACGUACUUUCAGAUCACUGAAACCCCACCUGAUGUGGUGGAAGUUGUCGAACCAGAUCAGAACGCCUUCGAGGACCACCUUCAGGCAUGGACUGAGAAGGAUGUGGAGGUUUUUGACCAGGCGCAGGAGAAACAGGAGGAGAGCUACUGGAGCAGAAUCAUGAAGGGGACCACCGGGCGAAUGACUUGGUUUGGAAGAAGGACGAAAGGAAGGCGAGAACUGGGAAACCUCACUGCUCUUUCGCUCCUAGCUGGGGUCACCAUCUGUUAAGGGUUACCUCGGUGGAAGCCAAUAAUCUUCUCCAGUUGGAGCAGUUGGACGGUCGACCACUGAAAGCACUGACGCCCUACACUUUGGUGAAGCUCAAUAGACAAAGACCAUCGACCAGGAGGUAUCCCAUCCACCAGAACCAGUGAAUUCGGAUCAGUCUGAGUCGGAGGGGGACCAGCUUGAGGACCUAGGGGUUCUGCCCAACACCCAGACGUGGAUCCACCUGAUGUCCUCCAUUACCAACCACCCUCCAACUUUUCAUUACAUCAUCUACAACUACUGUUAUUGUCAUGUUGUCAUUAUCUGCUAAGAAAGUUUUCUUGCGCUAGCAUACUGGGCACAUAAUAUGUGAGAUACACAGAUUAACUAAAAACACUAACACUGCAAACACUCAGAACAAAGAGAGCAGCAGUGCCUGGACUUUGCAGUCUCCCUCUUCAAGUCCCCCUUCCGAGACUAACUGCCUGUUGAGAACAAGUGACAGGCAGAACCUCUGCACACAGCAACCACCUCCUCAAAAGUCCACACACCAGAAUUCAGUAUUUCAGUCUAUGAUUGCCAUGUGUGUACAAAAACAUCUGUGAAAAUAAAUUAAUGACAACAACUGUACCAAAAAAUAUCAAUGUUUAUGUAUUAAAAUCUUAAAUAUUGCCAGGUUGGUUUUCACAGCUGUUUCACAAGGUGUUCAUUAUUGUAAGUUGUAAGGUAUCCUUGAUGGUAUUUAUUUGUUCCACAUUAUUCAUUUUUGUAUCCUAGGACCUACAAUAGAGACAUAUAUAUUCAACCACAAGGGUGUACUAAUGAGCUAUGAUAGAAAACAAUGAAUCAUAAUAGAGGACUACUGAAAUAAGUUAAGUAACUUUAAUGUGUCAAGCAGAUUGUUGUAUUUGCCAUUUCUGAAACGUAGCAAUGUUUAAGACAUGGACUUCAUGUUGUAAUGUUAACAAGGUACCCAAAAUUAGUUUGAAGUAAUGUUUUAAUUUUAUUAGCUAAACAAAACUUGUUUGAACAGUGAAAUUGUCACAGAAAUCAGCCUUGUUUGCAUAGCGAUGAUGAAAAGAAUGUCAUUUAGGCUGUAAUGAUCUCCGAAAUUCUAAUCAUUAGGUCAUCAAACCGUUGAUAUAGCAACGGACGCUAAUAGUUUAUUGAAUCCAAUUGUGACACAGAGGGGGACACUUUCUGGCCGGGGGACAUUAUUUAGCAUGACAGGCCCCUGACCUUAGCAUGGUGGUGCCACACUGGGUCUCAGUUUACUGUGAGCACCAACGUUUGUGUGUGGAGGGGGGGGGAUUAUACUCCCUAGAGGGGUGUGUGUGCGCGUGGAGGAAGAAUGCAUUCGCGUUAAAGUGUGUGAAACUAUGAACGUGAUUACUGUCGUGUGUGAGUGUAUGCAGUGUGUGUGUGUGUUUGUGUGUGCGCACUUCUCACACCAGUAAACACAUUUGAAUGGCAGGUUGCAGUGACAGAUUGAAAGGCUGAUGGAUAGAGGGAUGGAUGGAUAGAUGACAGGGAUGGAUGGAUAGGGGGAUAAACAUACAGUGGGG